GACCAGUUCCUAAUCUUUGUUGGACGGGACAGGGUCACCACUCCCUUGUAUUUUGGGAUUUGUGUAUUUUAAUGGGAUUUAUGGAUAUUUACCGUAAAGUACAAUGAUGGACCAGUUCCUGCUUUUGUUGGACGGGGCGGAGUUGCCACUCCCUUGUACAUGUAUAUUGGGAUUUGUGUAUUUUAAAGUCAUUUAUUGAUAUUUACGGUGCGUCUUGUAGUCACGGAUGCUUGUGUUAGAGAAAAUUGGCUACAGGCAAGGACAGCCUCAGCCUGACAUGUGUUAAUCAUAUGAUUGUUGACUGUUGAGUUGGGGGACUACUGUUUGUUAUCCAUUGUACCUGUAGAAUGGACACAAUGCAGUAUCAGAACUUACUUGUUCUAGUAAUUAGGUAAUUUUAUCUCCCUUCUCUCAUUCCAGACUCGGUUGCAAUGGAAGUUGAUG